rnacentral:lncRNA from 1 species
AGAUUUUCUUUGUAAUAAUGAUAAGUACAAGAAGAUUAACUUUUAAAAAAUUAAAUUCUGCAGAAUUGCUGUUGUCCCUCUCAUGAGAACUCUGAGCUAGUAUCAUGUAGUUCUAUGAUAAAAGAGGCAGGCUAACAGAAACACAGAAAUUUGUCUCAAUGCCAUGCUCUCGUUCAUAAAGAAAAGGAAGAGGAAGAUUCAGAGGAGUCAAGACAACAGGAUUUAGAAGAUGGAGAGAAGUCUGACAUUUCCAAAGAUCCUGAAACAGAGAAGCCAAAUGAGUUCUCAACAGAAGGAAAGGAAGAAUUGGAGAAAGAGAGUACUGAGGGGACUAUACUUGGUGACAACUUAAGCCAGCCAGACUUGGCAGAUGGAGAGAAGUUUGACAUUUCCAAAGAUCCUGAAACAGAGCUGGACACAGAGAAGCCAAAUGUGUCCGCAACAGAAGGAGAAAUGGAAGUCCCAGAGAACGGGAGUUCUGAUGAGAACAAACCUAGGAAAGGUUCGGAUCAGGAGGAUCAGGCAGAUGUGGAAAAGUUUGACUCUUCAAAGGAUUAUGCAGGAGAGCAGGACGCUGAGAAGAUCCUUGAACCAUCAGGAGAAGGUGGGUGGAUUUUUUCCAGCGUUUGCAGGUCGAAUACAUUCCAAUUAUAUAAUAACUUCUC